UCUUUUUUUUACUUUACUGGUUGUUUUAAAAAUGUAAUGUUUGCAUUCAUAAUUAAAUAAAUAUUAUACAUAUAAUAUGAUUCAUACUGUAAAAAUAAUUGACUUACCAUUAAGAACAAUACAGAUACAUUACAGAAAUGCACACAUAUACAUCUCAGUAGCCAUUAAAACUUUAAAUAUAUAAAUAAUAAAACCUAUAACGUGAUAAAAACGCCAUAAAAACACUACACUGAAGGGAAAAAUAGGGGGAACAUAGGGGGAACAGACUUCGACACAACACCGGUCUUAAGAUAUGAAGUAAGGAUGAUAUGAAUCAUGGCGCUGUUUUACACCCAAUUUCUGCAAGAUCUACCAAAGUUAACAAUUACCGACGAUCACCGGCUAGUACAAGCGGCAUGCUCAGCCCCGAGGAGCAAAAAGGAAAAGGAUUAUUAAGUUACAUCGACAACUAUGAAGAUUGUCUUUGACGACUGCUCACCAGUUGACAUUUCAGUGGCAGACUGUUCCUGUGUGGCUGGAAGAGCACCCGACUGAGAGCCCACCCUUCCG